rnacentral:rRNA from 1 species
GGGGACAACCAGCCGAAAGGUUGGCUAAUUCCGCAUGAGUUCUACGGAAGAAAGAGGGGGACCCGCAAGGGCCUCUCGCGAGCGGAGCGGCCGAUGACUGAUUAGCCGGUUGGUGAGGUAACGGCUCACCAAAGCAACGAUCAGUAGCUGGUCUGAGAGGACGACCAGCCACACUGGGACUGAGACACGGCCCAGACUCCUACGGGAGGCAGCAGUGGGGAAUUUUGGACAAUGGGCGCAAGCCUGAUCCAGCUAUUCCGCGUGUGGGAUGAAGGCCCUCGGGUUGUAAACCACUUUUGUAGAGAACGAAAAGACACCUUCGAAUAAAGGGUGUUGCUGACGGUACUCUAAGAAUAAGCACCGGCUAACUACGUGCCAGCAGCCGCGGUAAUACGUAGGGUGCGAGCGUUAAUCGGAAUUACUGGGCGUAAAGGGUGCGCAGGCGGUUGAGUAAGACAGAUGUGAAAUCCCCGAGCUUAACUCGGGAAUGGCAUAUGUGACUGCUCGGCUAGAGUGUGUCAGAGGGAGGUGGAAUUCCACGUGUAGCAGUGAAAUGCGUAGAUAUGUGGAAGAACACCGAUGGCGAAGGCAGCCUCCUGGGACAUAACUGACGCUCAGGCACGAAAGCGUGGGGAGCAAACAGGAUUAGAUACCCU